rnacentral:rRNA from 1 species
GACGAGGGAUCCUAGCGUUGUUCGGAAUCAUUGGGCGUAAAGCGGGUGUAGGCGGACUUAUAAGUCAGGUGUGAAAUCCCAGGGCUCAACCCUGGAAGUGCACUUGAUACUGUAAGUCUUGAAUGUGGUAGAGGUUACUGGAAUUGUUGGUGUAGUGGUGAAAUACGUAGAUAUCAACAGGAAUACCGGAGGCGAAGGCGAGUAACUGGGCCAACAUUGACGCUGAGAUCCGAAAGCGUGGGGAUCAAACAGG